GCCGGGGUAGCUCAGUCGGUAGAGCAACUGAUUCGUAAUCAGUAGGUCGGGUGUUCGAAUCACCUCCUCGGCACCA
rnacentral:tRNA from 1 species